CUUCUCGCGGGUAUCGCGUGUCGAGACCACCGUCAAACUCACCCGCAACGAGCAUGCGAACCCAUAUACAUACUCGUGCAGCUGCUGGCGUAUCUUGGAUGCGGCGCGACACUUAUAGAGGCAGGCAAUGCUAAUUCAAACAAAGUUAUCGUUCGGUAGAUAUAUAUUUAAUUCUUUUCUCAUUUACAUACGAGUACGGUGGCGGCUCGCCAGCCUCACAAUGUGCCAUUGUCGAGGACCUCUGUUUGAAUGGACAAGGACCGUCGAGACCGCGUUUCCAGGUGGCGAUAAUUCUCCUAGAUGAAAUUAAGCACAGCCUACACGCCACACGAACGCAACCAGAUUUAUCUGGAUUCAUUUCAGGCGAAAUCAAAACCAACUGGUUAUCGUGAUACCUGCUCGUAAUUAACAGCUUGGAAGUAACGCGAAGAAGAGUAUUAGGUCGUCCGGAAAGUUCCUUUCGUUCUACAAUAUGAGGAGAUAAUAGUUGCACAACAUUUUUGUUCUGUAUUAUUUUAUCGAGUCAUGUACAAUAUAUUUUGUUCUACUGCUACAAUACGUUGUGCAUCUAUUGUUUCCUUUUAAAACGAAAGAAACUCUUGGAACAACCUAAUAAUUUUCAGUAUCCAAUUUUCGAUAUAACGUUGUGUACAGGACGUUUCAUUUAACAUUUCGCUUACUUUCGGCGAGAUAAAAAUUGCAUUAGGACAAUCGUCAAAUUUGAUCGGCUGGGAACAGUGAAAAUUCUGGCUCAUCGCAAUUUUCCCUUUGAGGAAUUCACAAAUCGCAACGUGUUUCGUCGUUCUCUCAGCCAAGAUUUCGCAAUAUCUCACUCUGAUGAUCGGUUCUCAUCACUAACCGAACAAUGGACAAGAAUGAGCUGAGAAUUUUGUACGUAACAGUGCACUUGUAUUCCUAACAGCGACAGUUGGAUUUUGAUACAAUGUCAGGAGAGGGUAAACAAGCACAUUGGUAGAAAUUUGCUCGAUAUUUUUGCUGAGACAAACGCAACUCUGAAGUAAGGACAAAAAUGACCCGAAAUCCGCACUGGGAUCAAGUCAAGCCAAAUAUGUAUGCUGCGUAUAAAUUUUAACUGGGACAUGCUGCAUCUACAUUUUGAAAAUCGCCGAAGAAUAGUCGUCCCGCUGCGCCCAAGUUUACCUUUUUCCAUGGCAGACAAGAGGUCUCUUUUGUCAGUGAAUUGCACUUUGCUUUUUCGUUGGCACGAGCUGUUAAAUGGUUCCGGAUAUCUUCGGAGAAAGCUACUGAAUUUGCGUCGGGUCUUGUUAUACCCGACAAUGGCUACAAUUAUCGUGCCUGUGACGGGGAUUAUGAGCAUAAAGUGGGUUCAGAAAGGGAGAGUGCCAUUUUGUAGCUGAGUACGAGGAAUUUGGGAAGAAUAAGGAUACAGCGUUUACAUUCUUCUUUUUCUUCUUAAAUCUUCUCUUAAAUCUUCACUCGAAGAUAUUUUCAAGUCAGAAUUGAACAAUUUUUAACGUCGAUGGAAAAUUUAUGAAAAUACAGUAUACAUAUAUUUAAUAUGCAAAAUAUACAAAAAAAUAUGAAAGCAGAGUAUGUGAAUAUUUAGAGGAUGAGACAAAUCUUUGUGUAUAGAAAUGCCAUUUUUUAGUUCACAAAAAU